rnacentral:rRNA from 1 species
GAUGAACGCCGGCGGCGUGCCUAAUACAUGCAAGUCGAGCGAACGGACGAGAAGCUUGCUUCUCUGAUGUUAGCGGCGGACGGGUGAGUAACACGUGGAUAACCUACCUAUAAGACUGGGAUAACUUCGGGAAACCGGAGCUAAUACCGGAUAAUAUUUUGAACCGCAUGGUUCAAAAGUGAAAGACGGUCUUGCUGUCACUUAUAGAUGGAUCCGCGCUGCAUUAGCUAGUUGGUAAGGUAACGGCUUACCAAGGCAACGAUGCAUAGCCGACCUGAGAGGGUGAUCGGCCACACUGGAACUGAGACACGGUCCAGACUCCUACGGGAGGCAGCAGUAGGGAAUCUUCCGCAAUGGGCGAAAGCCUGGCGGAGCAACGCCGCGUGAGUGAUGAAGGUCUUCGGAUCGUAAAACUCUGUUAUUAGGGAAGAACAUAUGUGUAAGUAACUGUGCACAUCUUGACGGUACCUAAUCAGAAAGCCACGGCUAACUACGUGCCAGCAGCCGCGGUAAUACGUAGGUGGCAAGCGUUAUCCGGAAUUAUUGGGCGUAAAGCGCGCGUAGGCGGUUUUUUAAGUCUGAUGUGAAAGCCCACGGCUCAACCGUGGAGGGUCAUUGGAAACUGGAAAACUUGAGUGCAGAAGAGGAAAGUGGAAUUCCAUGUGUAGCGGUGAAAUGCGCAGAGAUAUGGAGGAACACCAGUGGCGAAGGCGACUUUCUGGUCUGUAACUGACGCUGAUGUGCGAAAGCGUGGGGAUCAAACAGGAUUAGAUACCCUGGUAGUCCACGCCGUAAACGAUGAGUGCUAAGUGUUAGGGGGUUUCCGCCCCUUAGUGCUGCAGCUAACGCAUUAAACACUCCGCCUGGGGAGUACGACCGCAAGGUUGAAACUCAAAGGAAUUGACGGGGACCCGCACAAGCGGUGGAGCAUGUGGUUUAAUUCGAAGCAACGCGAAGAACCUUACCAAAUCUUGACAUCCUUUGACAACUCUAGAGAUAGAGCCUUCCCCUUCGGGGGACAAAGUGACAGGUGGUGCAUGGUUGUCGUCAGCUCGUGUCGUGAGAUGUUGGGUUAAGUCCCGCAACGAGCGCAACCCUUAAGCUUAGUUGCCAUCAUUAAGUUGGGCACUCUAAGUUGACUGCCGGUGACAAACCGGAGGAAGGUGGGGAUGACGUCAAAUCAUCAUGCCCCUUAUGAUUUGGGCUACACACGUGCUACAAUGGACAAUACAAAGGGCAGCGAAACCGCGAGGUCAAGCAAAUCCCAUAAAGUUGUUCUCAGUUCGGAUUGUAGUCUGCAACUCGACUACAUGAAGCUGGAAUCGCUAGUAAUCGUAGAUCAGCAUGCUACGGUGAAUACGUUCCCGGGUCU